rnacentral:rRNA from 1 species
GGGUGAAGGAACUAGGCAAAAUGGUGCCGUAACUUCGGGAGAAGGCACGCUGGCGGUAGGUAAAGUCCCUCGCGGACAGAGCUGAAGCCAGUCGAAGAUACCAGCUGGCUGCAACUGUUUAUUAAAAACACAGCACUGUGCAAACACGAAAGUGGACGUAUACGGUGUGACGCCUGCCCGGUGCUGGAAGGUUAAUUGAUGGGGUCAGCCGCAAGGCGAAGCUCCUGAUCGAAGCCCCAGUAAACGGCGGCCGUAACUAUAACGGUCCUAAGGUAGCGAAAUUCCUUGUCGGGUAAGUUCCGACCUGCACGAAUGGCGUAAUGAUGGCCAGGCUGUCUCCACCCGAGACUCAGUGAAAUUGAACUCGCUGUGAAGAUGCAGUGUACCCGCGGCAAGACGGAAAGACCCCGUGAACCUUUACUAUAGCUUGACACUGAACAUUGAGCCUUGAUGUGUAGGAUAGGUGGGAGGCUUUGAAGUGUGGACGCCAGUCUGCAUGGAGCCAACCUUGAAAUACCACCCUUUAACGUUUGAUGUUCUAACCUAGGCCCAUAAACUGGGUCGGGGACCGUGUCUGGUGGGUAGUUUGACUGGGGCGGUCUCCUCCUAAAGAGUAACGGAGGAGCACGAAGGUUGGCUAAGCAUGGUCGGACAUCAUGCGGUUAGUGCAAAGGCAUAAGCCAGCUUGACUGCGAGAGUGACGGCUCGAGCAGGUACGAAAGUAGGUCUUAGUGAUCCGGUGGUUCUGAAUGGAAGGGCCAUCGCUCAACGGAUAAAAGGUACUCCGGGGAUAACAGGCUGAUACCGCCCAAGAGUUCAUAUCGACGGCGGUGUUUGGCACCUCGAUGUCGGCUCAUCACAUCCUGGGGCUGAAGUAGGUCCCAAGGGUAUGGCUGUUCGCCAUUUAAAGUGGUACGCGAGCUGGGUUUAGAACGUCGUGAGACAGUUCGGUCCCUAUCUGCCGUGGGCGUUGGAAGAUUGAGAGGGGUUGCUCCUAGUACGAGAGGACCGGAGUGAACGCACCACUGGUGUUCGGGUUGUCAUGCCAAUGGCAUUGCCCGGUAGCUAAGUGCGGAAGAGAUAACCGCUGAAAGCAUCUAAGCGGGAAACUUGCCUCGAGAUG